ACUCAAAUAGUUUAAUAAAAAUAUUGAUUUGUGGUGUCAAAGAUAUAAUUAGUUAUUUUGGGUC
rnacentral:tRNA from 2 species